GAGAAUAUAAACGCCAAUGAUGCACUGAGCCAAACCAGUGGCAAUGAAUUGAGCAAGGCACGUGGUUGACAGGCACUCCUGGAUAGUAAGGUCUGGUAUGAAGAUGGAAUAUAUCGGUCCACUCCUUCUGGUACCUCCCACACAAAGGGUCACAAUCUUGAAAAUCCAUGAAGCUCAUAAAACGUGAAACAACCCUUUCCAUUCAGACUUUGGCACAUAUCAAUAUUUCUAUCAACACAAGAUCUGUUAUAAAGAUGGUAGAGUUCCGAUAAUUUCUUCUGAUACCUCCCCCACAAAGGAUCAAAAUUUAAAAAAAUCCAUGAAGCUCAUAAAACGCGAAUUUAACAUCCGAUUCCAAUCAGACUUGGCACAUCUCAAAUUUUCCUUCAACACAAGAUUUUUUACAAAGAUGGUAGAGAUUGGACCAUUCCUUCUGGUAUCUCCCCCACAAAGGGUCAAAGUUUCGAAUAACUAAUACGAUCAUAAAAUUCGAAAUAAGCAUUGGGUUAUCUUCGAAUUUCACACAUCCAAUUAUUUCUACUAACACAAGAAGGUUGAAUGUAUCGGCCCACUCCUUCCGGUACCUACCCGCAACAGAAAGAAAAUAGACUCAAGAGAACUGCCGAAUUUGGUUUUCUCCGACAAACAAACAAAAUGAUCGUGUUUACUUGCCAAAGAGGUCAGCUAAAAAUGUGCACCUUCGGUUCACCACAAGAACUCAAGCGUCGGCCAUGAUGAUGGUGUGGGCCGACAAAACAGCCGAUGGUCGCUCUCCGCUCGUAUUAAUCGACCGUAGCAUCAGAAUAAAUGCCAAAUAUUAUUUCGAAAAUAUUCUGAAGGGUGUAUUAAAGCCUUGGAUACACAAACAUUUUGGCCGCAGACCUCGAACAUUCAAAUAGGACUCAGCACCAUCGCACUCAGCACACGCCACCCAAGAAUGGUUACAACAUGAGGUCCCUCGCUUCAUUUCUCCGGAUACCAAUCCGUUCUUCGCUUCAAAUCUCCGGAUACCAAUCCGUUGGACUAUGGUGUCUGAAGUAUUUUGGAAUGCAAUGUUGGCACUAAAAAAUACCAAAGUGUCGAUCACCUCAAGUAUGCUCCUCGCCGGGAAUGGACCAAAAUACCGCAGAGCAACAUUCGGGCAGCGUGUGACGGUUUCAUUGGCCGUUUGAAGGCCAUAAUUCGUGCAAAAGUUGACCAAGUCGAACAAAUCUAAACUUAUUCUAAAAUUUUAUGCUGUAAAUUCAUUCAUUCAUUCAUUCAAUAAAAUUUAAAAAAAGUAAAAAUUA